rnacentral:rRNA from 1 species
ACGUAGGGACCAAGCGUUGUUCGGAUUUACUGGGCGUAAAGGGCGCGUAGGCGGCAAUUCAAGUCAUCUGUGAAAUCUCCGGGCUUAACUCGGAACGGUCAGAUGAUACUGCUUUGCUAGAGUACAGAAGGGGCAAUCGGAAUUCUUGGUGUAGCGGUGAAAUGCGUAGAUAUUGGGAAGAACACCGGUGGCGUAGGCGACUAGCUGGGCUGUAACUGACGCUGAGGAACGAAGGCCAGGGGAGCGAAUGGGA